rnacentral:rRNA from 1 species
GACGAACGCUGGCGGCGUGCUUAACACAUGCAAGUCGAACGGAAAGGCCUGCUUUCCCUUGUGUAUUGCGGGUACUCGAGUGGCGAACGGGUGAGUACCACGUGAGUGAUCUGCCCCCAACUUGGGUAUAAGCCUGGGAAACUGGGUCUAAUUCCCGAUAGGACUGCAGUGUGGUGCCUGUGGUGGAAAACGAUUUUCUAGUGGUUGGGGAUGAGCUCGCGGCCUAUCAGCUUGUUGGUGGGGUAAUGGCCUACCAAGGCGGCGAAGGGUAGCCGGCCUGGGAGGGGGGACGGCAGACUUGGGACUGAGAUACGGGCAAGAAUACAAAGGGAGGAAGCAGUGGGGAAGAGUGGAGAAUGGGCGGAAGCCUGAGGCAGCGACGCCGAGUGGGGGAUGACGGGCUUCGGGUUGUAAACUCCUUUCGACCGCGAGGAAGCCACCUGGUUGGAAGGGUGGUGACGGUAGUGGUAGAAGAAGCACCGGCUAACUACGUG